rnacentral:rRNA from 1 species
CAGUAGCGUAUAUUAAAGUUGUUGCAGUUAAAAAGCUCGUAGUUGGACGUCUCUUCCUUGUAAGACUUCUCGUCUUCAGGGAAGAUCUGCCUAGCAGCUUCAUUCGGCGUUUACUCGUCGAUGAGGAUAUGCGGGCAUUUUACCUUGAGGAAACUAGAGUGUUUAAGGCAGGCUUCUGCCUGGAUACCACAGCUGGGAAUAAUGCGCUCGGAAUGUCUUGGCGAGAUGUUUCGAAUUCAUUAAUAGGGACAGUUGGGGGCAUUCGUACUCAGCAGUCAGAGGUGAAAUUCUUGGAUUUGCUGAAGACGGACUAGUGCGAAAGCAUUUGCCAAGGAUGUUUUCAUUAA